AACGAACGCUGGCGGCAUGCCUAACACAUGCAAGUCGAACGGGAUCCUAGCUUGCUAGGUGAGAGUGGCGGACGGGUGAGUAACACGUGGGAAUCUGCCUUUUGGUUCGGGAUAACCGCGGGAAACUGCGGCUAAUACCGAAUGCCCUCGAGAGAGGAAAGAUUUAUCGCCAGAAGAGGAGCCCGCGUCCGAUUAGGUAGUUGGUGGGGUAAAGGCCUACCAAGCCGACGAUCGGUAGCUGGUCUGAGAGGAUGAUCAGCCACACUGGGACUGAGAUACGGCCCAGACUCCUACGGGAGGCAGCAGUGGGGAAUAUUGGACAAUGGGGGGCAACCCUGAUCCAGCAAUGCCGCGUGAGUGAUGAAGGCCUUAGGUUGUAAAGCUCUUUUGCCAGGGAAGAUGAUGACUGUACCUGGAGAAUAAGCCCCGGCUAACUUCGUGCCAGCAGCCGCGGUAAU
rnacentral:rRNA from 1 species